GUUGGUGUGGUGUCCUAGCAUAGAGGAUUUUCGCUCCUAAGGAGUAGGGGUUGCCCUGCCAUCAACU
rnacentral:tRNA from 1 species